rnacentral:tRNA from 1 species
CCUUCGAUAGCUCAGCUGGUAGAGCGGAGGACUGUAGCAGAGAAGUUUGUGGACAUCCUUAGGUCGCUGGUUCGAUUCCGGCUCGAAGGA